GUGACCUACGGUUGUGGACUGUGAACGGCGAUCUGAUUGGCCACGUCCACUGUCGUGAGAUCAUCUGCUCUGUGGCGUUCUCCAAUCAGCCGGAGGGAGUGUCUGUCAACGUCAUUACAGGGGGACUGGAGAACGGAGUGGUCAGGCUGUGGAGCACUUGGGACUUGAAGCCAGUGAGAGGAGAGAUCACCUUCCCCAAGUCGAACAAGCCUAUCAUCAGCCUGACGUAUUCAUGUGACGGUCACCACCUCUACACAGCUAACAGCGAGGGACGGUCAUGGCCUGGUGUAGGAGAGACCAGCAGAGGAUGAAACUGCCCAUGUUCUACAGUUUCCUCUCGAGCUACGCUGCCAGCUGACAGACUAGGGCCUUGAACGACUACACUACCCACAAUCCUCCUGAGAGACAUGAUUACAAUACCCAUAGUCCUUUUCUGACGCAUGGCCCCAGACUACUGUGAGAGACCGCAUGAGGGACAUAACUACAAUACCCACAGUCCUCUACUCUUAUGGCAGCCCCCAGACAUCCUGGCAUGUUGAGUCAGAACUACAAAACCCAUAGUUAUCUUCUGACACAUUGCUCCAGACUACCCUGGGACAGAACUACAAUGACCACAGUUCUCCAGGCGGACAGAACAGCCUGAAACUCUCCAUGAUCAGUCAGUCCCCUUCUCUGCCCGGAGGCAGACAUGUCAACAUGCUGCAGACGACCAAUCAAAGCCCUCAGCUCAGACCCGAAGACCCACCUCCUGUAAUCUACAGCCAUUUCCGUGCGAGCAGACGAGCAGCUGUUAACAUGAAGCUAAGAUAUGAUAUUAAAGAGAUCUAGAUAUACAUUUUUUUGCUUUUGGAAUGUUUUGGUUUUGUUGUCAUGGUAAUAAUGUUCCUUCCUUCUGAAAUGUGUUGCUGAUGACUUGAUUGGUUGUUUGGACUGUCCUGGUGAGCUGCUGCUGCUACAUAACAUCUGACCAAUCCCAAGUCAGACCAGAGGGCUGAAGGCCCCGCCUCUGCUAGUGUCUGACCAAUCCAAAGCCAGAGCAGAGGGUUGAAGACCCGCCCCGUCUCUCCUCGACGGCCAACGCAUGUGUCUCUCUGCAUGAAUGCCGGCUCUUAUUCCUGAGAGACCAGGACAAGCUGCAGUUCCUGGGUCACACUGCAUAUCUGUCACCUCCCUGGAGAUGACCCUGCAUGGUGCUGUGGGGACUGAGAAGGGAGCCUUCCUGUCCACUCUGAACUCUAGACUACGUAAACCAGCUAGGGGGAUCUGGGGUGACGUUGCCUGUAAUGUCCUGGUCUGUGCCCUAAAGGCCUCUUCUUGCAUGCUGGAAUUAAGGAGACUGCGAUGGGUGUGUGUGUGGGUGUGUGUGUGAUGGCUUGAAAGCACUAACUACAUUGUGUUCCUGCAUUGUAUCGAUCCUGUUUCCUGCCUUGUAUCAAUCCUGUUUCUUGUGUCAUUUUGUUUUCACUCUUUGUUUUUGCAUUGGCUUCCUUAAAGUGUUGUUGUUGUUUCUUAUUAUCAAUGAAAGCUGAGAAUGAUUUGCUGUUGA